rnacentral:rRNA from 1 species
GAUGAACGCUGACAGAAUGCUCAACACAUGCAAGUCGACUCGAGUCUUCGGACUUGGGUGGCGCACGGGUGAGUAACGCGUAAAGAACUUGCCUCUUAGACCGGGACAACAUCUGGAAACGGAUGCUAAUACCGGAUAUUAUGGUUUUUUCGCAUGGAGGAAUCAUGAAAGCUAGAUGCGCUAAGAGAGAGCUUUGCGUCCCAUUAGCUGGUUGGUGAGGUAACGGCCCACCAAGGCAAUGAUGGGUAGCCGGCCUGAGAGGGUGAACGGCCACAAGGGGACUGAGACACGGCCCUUACUCCUACGGGAGGCAGCAGUGGGGAAUAUUGGACAAUGGACCGCAAGUCUGAUCCAGCAAUUCUGUGUGCACGAUGACGUUUUUCGGAAUGUAAAGUGCUUUCAGUCGGGAAGAAGUCAGUGACGGUACCGACAGAAGAAGCGACGGCUAAAUACGUGCCAGCAGCCGCGGUAAUACGUAUGUCGCAAGCGUUAUCCGGAUUUAUUGGGCGUAAAGCGCGUCUAGGCGGCAAGGAAAGUCUGAUGUGAAAAUGCGGAGCUCAACUCCGUAUGGCGUUGGAAACUGCCUUACUAGAGUACUGGAGAGGUAGGCGGAACUACAAGUGUAGAGGUGAAAUUCGUAGAUAUUUGUAGGAAUGCCGAUGGGGAAGCCAGCCUACUGGACAGAUACUGACGCUAAAGCGCGAAAGCGUGGGUAGCAAACAGG